rnacentral:rRNA from 1 species
AUGAACGCUGGCGGCGUGCCUCAUACAUGCACGUCGCGCGAACAGACGAGGAGCUUGCUCCUCUGACGUUAGCGGCGGACGGGUGAGUAACACGUGGAUAACCUACCUAUAAGACUGGGAUAACUUCGGGAAACCGGAGCUAAUACCGGAUAAUAUAUUGAACCGCAUGGUUCAAUAGUGAAAGACGGUUUUGCUGUCACUUAUAGAUGGAUCCGCGCCGCAUUAGCUAGUUGGUAAGGUAACGGCUUACCAAGGCAACGAUGCGUAGCCGACCUGAGAGGGUGAUCGGCCACACUGGAACUGAGACACGGUCCAGACUCCUACGGGAGGCAGCAGUAGGGAAUCUUCCGCAAUGGGCGAAAGCCUGACGGAGCAACGCCGCGUGAGUGAUGAAGGUCUUCGGAUCGUAAAACUCUGUUAUUAGGGAAGAACAAAUGUGUAAGUAACUAUGCACGUCUUGACGGUACCUAAUCAGAAAGCCACGGCUAACUACGU